CACCGCGGUUAUACGAGAGGCCCGAGUUGACAGGUGCCGGCGUAAAGAGUGGUUAAGGAAAAAUGUAACUAAAGCCGAACACCUUCAGAACUGUUAUACGUUUCCGAAGAAAGGAAGCCCCACUACGAAAGUGGCUUUAUUUUCCCCGACCCCACGAAAGCUGCGGAA
rnacentral:rRNA from 1 species